GCUACGGGUGGCAGCAGUGAGGAAUAUUGGUCAAUGGGCGCGAGCCUGAACCAGCCAAGUAGCGUGAAGGAUGACUGCCCUACGGGUUGUAAACUUCUUUUAUAAAGGAAUAAAGUGAGGCACGUGUGCCUUUUUGUAUGUACUUUAUGAAUAAGGAUCGGCUAACUCCGUGCCAGCAGCCGCGGUAAUACGGAGGAUCCGAGCGUUAGCCGGAUUUAUUGGGUUUAAAGGGAGGUGAGAUGGGUUGUUAAGUCAGUUGUGAAAGUUUGCGGCUCAACCGUAAAAUUGCAAUUGAUACUGGCAGCCGUGAGUACAGUUGAGGUAGGCGGAAUUCGUGGUGUAGCGGUGAAAUGCUUAGAUAUCACGAAGAACUCCGAUUGCGAAGGCAGCCUACUAAACUGCCACUGACAUUGAUGCUCGAAAGUGUGGGUAUCAAACAGGAUUAGAUACCCGGGUAGUC
rnacentral:rRNA from 1 species